rnacentral:rRNA from 1 species
GGUCCUACGGGACGCAGCAGUGGGGAAUAUUGCGCAAUGAAGGAAACCCUGACGCAGCAACGCCGCGUGCGGGAUGAAGGCUUUCGGGUUGUAAACCGCUUUCAGCAGGGAAGAUAAUGACGGUACCUGCAGAAGAAGCCCCGGCUAACUACGUGCCAGCAGCCGCGGUAAUACGUAGGGGGCAAGCGUUAUCCGGAUUCAUUGGGCGUAAAGCGCGCGCAGGCGGGCCGCUAAGCGGGACCUCUAAUCUUGGGGCUCAACCUCAAGCCGGGUCCCGACCCUGCAGCCUCGCGGGCG